rnacentral:rRNA from 1 species
CCUACGGGGGGCAGCAGUGGGGGAUAUUGCACAAUGGGGGGAACCCUGAUGCAGCGACGCCGCGUGGGUGAAGGAGUGCUUCGGCAUGUAAAGCCCUAUCGGCAGGGAAGAAGCAAGACGGUACCUGACUAAGAAGCCCCGGCUAACUACGUGCCAGCAGCCGCGGUAAUACGUAGGGGGCGAGCGUUAUCCGGAUUCACUGGGUGUAAAGGGAGCGGAGACGGCCAUGCAAGCCAGGGGUGAAAGCCCGGGGCCCAACCCCGGGACUGCCCUUGGAACUGGGCGGCUAGAGUGCGGGAGGGGCAGGCGGAAUUCCUGGUGUAGCGGUGAAAUGCGUAGAUAUCAGGAGGAACACCGGCGGCGAAGGCGGCCUGCUGGACUGCGACUGACGUUGAGGCUCGAAAGCGUGGGGAGCGAACAGGAUUAGAUACCCCAGUAGUC